UCCGUGAACACUACACGGAAUUCUGAGAUCAGGUUGCUCUGUUCCUUACCCUCAUCCAGAAAGGACGAACAGGACGCGACGGCAGCGUAUAGGCAAACAAAUUCCAUCAUAUUUCUAUCAUGGCGCCGAAAAAGCGUGGAAUACAGCGAUACAAAAUCAUUAUGCAUUAGACGUAAAUAGAUUAAAACAGCGACCAGUAACACUGCUCUUUCUGAGUCCAUCAUUUGUGCUGUCCAGUGGGGUAUGUGAAUAAUGGCAGUGAAAAAAUUAACCACAAUUCUUAGCGAAUAAUAAGAAUAAUGGAAAUUGCAUGUAAACGGAGUAAGAGCUUUGCUCUUGACAUGUAAACAUCAAAAUGCGAUUAAGUCCUUACUCUGAUUAUUGGAAAUAAUCGCAAUAUUAGUGCGCAUGUAAACGCAGUCAAUGAAGUAAAAUAAAAUAUGAAUAGAGAUGGGAGGACUAUCAUCCGUGUAUGAAUGAAAACAGUAGGUGGCUGGCGGUAUGUGCCUAUGGCGCAGAUUCUGCGGAAUACGUCAAAAUCAUAUUCAUUUGAAUGAAGUAAAACAAAUGAUAAAUUUAAUACUAGGAUGCAGUUCAUUUUAACACUUAGAAAUUGUGACAUUUCAGACCAAAACAAAAUUGAACAGGGACAUUAAAAAAAUAAAUGCAUGCACAAUAGACUCUUUUUUUUACAAUUACAGAAAGAGCAGUUGUAAUCUCCAGAUGAAAAUGCUCUAUAAUGUUUCUUUAACAGGAAAUAUUCUGUGAGCAAUUUUAAAGGACACUUCUUUUGUUUUAUUUGUAACGCAAUACCAACUAAGAACUCCCUAAAAAUGUUCCCACUCAAAUGAAGGAAACAUAUUAACUGAAAAACAAAUUUAGAUGGAGGAGAAGAGAUAUUAACAAAAAGGGACAUAAUCAACUGGUUACUGCAGAAAUACUUUACAGAAAUAGAAAAUAUUUAUUAUUGAUCUGUUUUUGCAAUUAGGAAAAUGUUAUAUUCAUCAAACUAAAUGGAGUAACUUAAAACCCAAUUUUGCUCAUUUUCAAACAGCCUUUAAAGCUUAUUUAGAAUCUAUAAAGUCUUUAAAAAAUCGUAAAGCCCAAAGGACCGUGUCUCUGCAGUCUGCACUGUAAAACCUAACAGUGAAAUUCGCUAAAUGAAAUGAGUUCAUUUAACUCAAAAAAUUUUAAAAAGUUAAUUCAACUCAAUAUAUAUUUGUGAUGUGAACUCAAAAGCUAAUUAGGUUAAGCAGAACUCAAUCUAAAUAAGUUACUAUAAAUUAUUUUAAUCUAUUAUUACAAUACAGUCUAUGAUUAUUACAUCUAAAUGGCAGACCAGAAAAUAUUUAAAAGAAAUAUGAGCUUAAUUCAUUAUAUCCAACAUUGUUUUUCGAGAAGUCACGUUUGUACAACAUAGGGCUAUAGGUUAUUAUGCUUUAUAUCUACUAACUAAACUAAACCAUAUAAUACCUUUCAUAACUAAUGAAAUAACUAAGCCAUAAUAUAAUAAAUACAUAAAUCUAUUUCAUAUUAAGCAUAGAUUAAUCCUUUUAAAGUAAUUUAUUCGAGACAAAAUAUUAUCCGGGUGUUUUUCAAAAACCGCGCGCAGACAAUCACGUCCGCUCGCGGCUCAUCCAGGCUGCAGCCUGCAGCUCACUUACCGGAUCACAGCCGUGCGGCUCGCGACGCGGUCACGGAAAAUAACAGCCGGACACAGACAAACCCGCAAAUUAUAUUUUUAAACCAGAGAGACAGCCGACAGACCAUCUUCCUCAUCUCUAACCGUCACUCGCGCCACAGAUCUGAAGCGAGUGCAAAGGCAGCGAGGAGGGGUGGUGUUAUGUCAUUGGCAACAGGACGGCUGCAAAACUAAUAUGAGCCUAAAAUGAAGAACAAUAAUGACAUCAGUCAUUCAAGCUAGGAUCCUGGCAGAUCUACUACUAUCUGAAAAUAAGACACACAAGAAAAAGGGAGCCUGAUCAGGUACAAAAGGCAGCUGUCUCCAUCUUUGCUGUUAAGGAGGAAGAGGGAACAUUGUCUUUAAACCCAUUGGAUGUUUUGAUUGUAUUUGAAGAUGAUGACUGCCAAGUCUUGGGUCAGUGUACUGGUGCUUUUUUUUGGAACUAAAGUAUUACAGUAUACUAACUACUUAAAGUUUAUAUAUAAGUGCUGUUAAUCUUGAGGAAAGUGUUUUUAAUUUUUUUACAGAAAAAUUAUCCACUGUGUUUCAUAUUAUUUAGCAGUUAUUUAUUAUUAUUAUUAUUAAUUAUAUUUAACAUUUAAGAUGGAUUUUGUUAAACAUUUCCUUGUUUGUGUGGUCGUUACUUAUUUGGUAAAGUCUGAUAAGAUACCUUAAAUGUUAUAUUUUUGAAUAUAAAGCCCACUGAUUUUGUUUUAUGCUUGAAAACAUUUGUUGUAUUUCAAUAAAUACUUGAGGAAACACUCCUGUUCUGUCAUGAUUUCUUUGUACCAGUGUUUUUGCUUCUUAUGUAACUUUAUUGCUUUGAGUUUGAUGAACUUAAACCAUUUAAGGCAAUCGGUUUCCUCAAACCAUUUAAGUAGCAAAGUGGUUAAUUUUAAGUUGUAAAGACUUAGUCAGUUUGAGUUCAGGUAACAUUCUAACUGAGUGGAAUAAACUUAAAAUGUUCCAAGUUCAGUUUACUCUAAUAAUUGACUAAGCCAACACUAAAAAAUAAGUUAAUUUAACUCGAUGUAAAUGAGUUAUGGUACUCAUAUUUAUUAGUUUUAAAACUUAAAUGGUUUAAGGCAAUCGGUUUCCUCAAACGGUUUGAGUUACCAUAACUUGUCCGGUUUUACAGUGCUAAAUGAAUUUAAAAUAUGCUUGUGAUGCCCUUUUUAUUUUUAUUUUUUCCUCCCUAGUUGUAUUUUAUUUUGUAUAAUUUUUAAAAUAAUUUGUGUUAUUUUUAUUUUAUUAAAAUUGUCUAAAUUUGUAUUUACAAAAUGUGUAAAUAUGAGAAAUAUGUGAAGAAUUUGCUGUUGAAUUUUGUCAUUUUGAAAGUAAAAACAAAACAAAAAUAAAAUAAUAAAAAAACGCCAAAAUCCCGAAGAAGAAGAGGGAGUUAGCAAUAGCAAGCAGCAGCCAGCAUGGCUCACCUUCUGAACACAUUGUGCUGUAUCCUGGUUGUAGUGGUGUAUAGUCUAGUUUUUAUUAGUGAGUAUACUGUGAUUUUUUUUUUCCCUCCCUCACCCGUCCCAAAGCGACACCCCAUAAGCACCACUCACUAAUGUGUACAGUAUGCAUCUACAUGUAACUGACAGCAUUCCGAAAGACUGCUUAUGCAAUAUCAACAUGUCAAUUUAUUAUAAGCAACAAAUGACAU